rnacentral:rRNA from 1 species
UACAGAGGGGGCAAGCGUUGUUCGGAAUUACUGGGCGUAAAGGGCGCGUAGGCGGCCCGCUAAGUCGGACGUGAAAUCUCCGGGCUCAACCCGGGGAACUGCGUCCGAUACUGGAUGGCUUGAAUCCGGGAGAGGGAUGUGGAAUUCCAGGUGUAGCGGUGAAAUGCGUAGAUAUCUGGAGGAACACCGGUGGCGAAGGCGGCAUCCUGGACCGGUAUUGACGCUGAGGCGCGAAAGCCAGGGGAGCAAACGGG